UUUUGAUGCCUCUAAUGUUAACGUGUCUUAAUUUAUAUGACAUUUGUAUAAGACUGUUGUGAAGGUUGUUUAUAAUUUCAUUUGUAAUUACACUUUCUCUCUUCCAGUGUUUCCAAUAUAGUGGUUAUUGGCCCACUGAAUCUGAACAAAUCAUUCCAGUUUGAUACCAUGACAAGAACUAUUAAUGCAACUGUAAUGUGGACCCCAUCUGAAAAUGACGUGGGCAACUAUAUACCAUUUUGUUUUAUGGCUUGGAAUGUGGCACUGUAACAGUCUGAGAUGAGAUGCAUAUUUGUAAAUGUAGUGCCUAAGACGCCCAAUGUGAGUAACAUGACGACUAUGACACCCAGCAACAUCGACGCUAACGUUGAGUGCACUGAGACGACGAUGAGCCUGUAUGUGCUGAAGUCUUCGGUCCCGGGCCAUAAAGAACAUAACUCGCGCCUUAAUGACCCCA